CCCUCACAUACGUUAAAAAAAGGAUUAUUUUUGCCCAACGAAUAUUAGGAUCUGUCUUGCUGUGAUAGAAUCCGUUUGAACCAAUGUUCCUUUACUUCUGAAAAAUGUCUCGCUUCCAAUAUGGACAGUGAUUGGCUCUGAGUAUGCUUCCAAAGACACGUGGUGGCCACCUCUGCAAUGGUUUUUACGCUAACAGCAAAGCUUUCUCCGAUGGUACUUCUUCAUGAAGUAGCACAAACUGUUCGGAUCCCUAAAUCGAACUCUCCUCUGCAUUUCGGUGAGCCAGCUGAGAGUUUGACUUGCGGCAAUGAUCAACAGCUGCGUCCUUCUCUGGCUGGUUUUGGUUUGACAAGGCUUAGACCCCAGAGAAGUCCUGUAUCCUGCAAGACUUUUAUACCAACAUAUUAUAAUGUUUAAAAAUAAUCAAAAUAUUUUAUCUGCGUCGCAAAUUUAAUAGCGCCGACAUAUUUCUAUGAUCUAGUACUAUUAAAGUGGGAACCACGUCUGUCUAGUUGUCUGUCUGUUCAAAAGAAACAGGACCUCCCGAGAAAAGCUACAACCGCCAUCGUGUUCAGCGCCGCGAGUAAUACAAAGAAAUCAAGGCCAUUACGGAACACUUUCCUGUUUUUCCACCUCUAACAAGUCAAAAAGUUGUUCAUGAUGCCGAAAGGCAUUGAUAAACCGUUGAAACUUUUCCGUGGAAUUGUAAUUAUUUUCCUUGAAUGAGGAAUUCCUAGUAAGUGUGAGUCAUCAGCUCGCGCUGAUUACGUCCCUAUUAUUUAUACACACCGCCCAUCGCUGUCCGGGACUGAGUCUCGAGUGGACUGCGGACUGCUGUGUCGAGGCCUUCGGGUCUCGGUAUGGCGGAAAACAGUUCAAUCGCAAUGGCUUGAACUGGGUAAAAGUCGUAAGACGAUGAUCCAUCUGUAGGUGAAUCUGCAGAUGGAUCACCG
rnacentral:ncRNA from 1 species